CUGGAAUGAGAGGCAGGACAAUGCUAGGCAAGUUACCAUAACUUACCUUCUCGUAAUAUUACAGGUAAUAAUUACAGAUAUAAAAUUGUAUUCAUGCCCUGGAGCUCACCAUGUGGAAACUCCUGCUACUUAGAAAGAAAUUCUCCUCAUCAGUAAUUGAAGGUCUUAGAAUAUUGUCUGGGGUACUGAUGACCCUAACCACGCAAACAAUGUCAGAGAGAAGGAAACUGAGGCCCAGAGAAGUGAAAUGACUUGGCAAAGAUCGAACUGGCAGUGAGUAGGAUAUAAUCCAGGUCACCUAAAUGUAAACCCAGCACUUCUUCAUUGUUCUGGAUUUCUCGACACCUACUUUUUAGUACUGCUACAAUCCAAAAAGAAAAGAAAAGAAAACAGCAUGGGCCCGUGGAAAGAGUGAGUACUUGAAGACACAACGUGAGUUUGAAUCAACUCUAUCAAUUGCUCCUUGCAAGAUGUUGGGCAAGUCACUUCACUUUCAGAGUCUCAGGUUUCUCAUAUGUGAAAUGAGAGUUUUGAAUGCGGGAAGGAGUGGAAGGGAGAAAGGGUUUAGGAUUGAAAGACAGAAAAAGACAGAGGG